rnacentral:lncRNA from 1 species
GAGACCGUUGAUGAAGGAUGGGAAUUUCUCGCGCGACUUGACCAGCGAACCAUUGAUCAGGUACGCCCCGUUCAGGAAAGGCACGUUCCAUAUGCCCCUGCCUUCACGUUUUAGGAGAGAGA